rnacentral:rRNA from 1 species
CCUACGGGGGGCAGCAGUGGGGAAUAUUGGACAAUGGGGGCAACCCUGAUCCAGCCAUGCCGCGUGUGUGAAGAAGGCCCUCGGGUUGUAAAGCACUUUCAGUGAGGAAGAACGCCUGGUGGUUAAUACCCAUCAGGAAAGACAUCACUCACAGAAGAAGCACCGGCUAACUCCGUGCCAGCAGCCGCGGUAAUACGGAGGGUGCGAGCGUUAAUCGGAAUUACUGGGCGUAAAGCGCGCGUAGGUGGCUUGAUAAGCCGGUUGUGAAAGCCCCGGGCUCAACCUGGGAACGGCAUCCGGAACUGUCAAGCUAGAGUGCAGGAGAGGAAGGUAGAAUUCCAGGUGUAGCGGUGAAAUGCGUAGAGAUCGGGAGGAAUACCAGUGGCGAAGGCGGCCUUCUGGACUGACACUGACACUGAGGUGCGAAAGCGUGGGUAGCAAACAGGAUUAGAUACCCGAGUAGUC